AUGGCUUCUUGACAGCCUUCAAUACCUACUGCACCUGGGCAUGGGCACUACAAUCCUUAUCUUCUGACUGUGAGGUGUAGAGAGUUGACAACGGGGUGGAGGCAGUGGCCAUGGCUGCCAUGGUCCAACGUCAGUAGAUGUGGAAUUGAAGAGAGUUUAGAAGAUGAAGAGUUAACUUUAUAUGGAAUAGGAGUUUAUUUUUGGAAGACACCACCAGAAGCCAAACGUCGAUGUAUGGAAGGACCCUCACACAUUGAAGAUGGAGAUGCAGAUGAUGAAGAUUGUGAAAUGUCCAUAGAGCUGGCAGUAGAGUAAAGUUUUUGGAACCUUUCCAGUGUAUCAUCUGUCUUUUGGCCAAACAGUGCCUCAUCAUCAAAAGGACUCCAAGGUCAUGAUCCAAGCAACCCUAAUUCUUGGUUCAGAGAGUGGAAGAAAAUAAACUGGAAUUAGCUAACAUUAAAAUGCUCAGUUAGAAGAGAUGACAAAAUACUGCUGCCUGAUCCAAGGUCCAUGGUACGCCAAUUUCCUUGGUGUCAGUUGCAGGACCUUGCCUCUUAACACAAAGAGAUGCUUUAACUGAGCAUCCUGGAACU